rnacentral:rRNA from 1 species
UACGGAGGGUGCGAGCGUUGUCCGGAAUCAUUGGGCGUAAAGCGCACGUAGGCGGUCCUUUAAGUCUCAUGGUGAAAGGCUGGGGCUCAACCCCAAGCAAGCCGGGGAUACUGGAGGACUGGAGACAGGCAGAGGCCAGCGGAAUUCCGGGUGUAGCGGUGGAAUGCGUAGAGAUCCGGAAGAACACCGGAGGCGAAGGCGGCUGGCUGGGCCUGAUCUGACGCUGAGGUGCGAAAGCGUGGGGAGCGAACAGG